rnacentral:rRNA from 1 species
UACGUAGGGUGCGAGCGUUAAUCGGAAUUACUGGGCGUAAAGCGUGCGCAGGCGGUUAUGCAAGACAGAUGUGAAAUCCCCGCGCUCAACCUGGGAACUGCAUUUGUGACUGCAUGGCUAGAGUGCGGCAGAGGGGGAUGGAAUUCCGCGUGUAGCAGUGAAAUGCGUAGAUAUGCGGAGGAACACCGAUGGCGAAGGCAAUCCCCUGGGCCUGCACUGACGCUCAUGCACGAAAGCGUGGGGAGCAAACAGG